rnacentral:tmRNA from 1 species
GGGGCUGUACCGGUUUCGACUGUGAGGAAAAGGGAAGGCAUAAGCAUACCGAAGCGUCUUCUUCGUUAAAAAGGCGAACUAAAUUUAAAUGCUGAUAAUAAUCAAUUAGCAGUAGCUGCUUAAUUUAUAGCGGCUUGUCCGCCUGCCGUCUUCCCGUCGGCGGCAGAGUCGGGCAUUAUUUUCGGCGGGGAACUACCUAUGCGGUCUGAAAACGUCGCGUUGGCAGAUCUUUGUUUUCCACGGCGCGCGUAUUGCGCCUUACCAUAGCGUGCGCAAGGGUUUUAAGUUAAGGCUAAGUAUGUAGAAGGCUUUUCGGUUUUUUCACAACACGCGAGUUCGACUCUCGCCAGUUCCACCA